rnacentral:lncRNA from 1 species
CAAUAAGUUAUAUCAAACAGUACAGUGGUGGUGUUCUCGAAAGUAUCCUAAGAUUCGUACUAAGUCAUAGAUAAGACCAAUUUUAAGAUGAACGUAUGAUCAUUUUGUGACUCUCAUAAAAGAGGGACGAAAGAUACCAAAGGGACAGUCAAACUCAUAAAUCUAAAACAAACUGACAACGCCAUGGCUAAAAAUGAAAAAGACAAACAAACAACAGCACACAUGACACAACAUAGAAAACUAAAGAAUAAACAACACGAACC